UACGUAGGUGGCAAGCGUUGUCCGGAUUUACUGGGCGUAAAGGAUGCGUAGGCGGACAUUUUAAGUCAGAUGUGAAAUACCCGAGCUUAACUUGGGUGCUGCAUUUGAAACUGGGUGUCUAGAGUGCAGGAGAGGUAAGUGGAAUUCCUAGUGUAGCGGUGAAAUGCGUAGAGAUUAGGAAGAACACCAGUGGCGAAGGCGACUUACUGGACUGCAACUGACGCUGAGGCAUGAAAGCGUGGGGAGCAAACAGG
rnacentral:rRNA from 1 species